CUCGUAGGCGGUUUGUCGCGUCGGGAGUGAAAACCAGGUGCUUAACACCUGGCUUGCUUUCGAUACGGGCAGACUAGAGGUAUGCAGGGGAGAACGGAAUUCCUGGUGUAGCGGUGAAAUGCGCAGAUAUCAGGAGGAACACCGGUGGCGAAGGCGGUUCUCUGGGCAUUACCUGACGCUGAGGAGCGAAAGUGUGGGGAGCGAACA
rnacentral:rRNA from 1 species